AAAAUAACUUAAACCUGGGUAGUACAUAGCUAUUGUCUUGAAACCCAAAGAGUUUGGCGGUACCUCAGUCUAGUUAGAGGAGCUUGUCCGGUAAUCGAUAAUCCGCGAAAAAUCUUACACACUUUUGUAAACAGCUUAUAUACCGUCGUUAUUAGAUAAUAUUAAAAAGUAAUUAAUUAUCUGAAAAUAUUUGAAUAUAGUAUAUCAGAUCAAGGUGUAGCUUAUGAGUGUGAGUUGGAUGAGCUACAAUUUAGUUUAUAAAAAUGGAUGUUGUUUUUAAAUAAAUAACUAAAGGUGGAUUUAAUAGUAAUUGUGGUUUUAGUAAGUCACAAUGAUAUUAGCUCUGAGUAUGU
rnacentral:rRNA from 1 species